UCUUAGAAGUGAUGGUUGCAGAUGCGUGUACUUUGUGCAUGUACUAACAACUGACCUGUUCAUGUUGAAAGGGUGACUUUCAUGAUGAAUAAUUCAUCUUGAUGUAAUCAUGCAAGACUCCUAAGAAGAUGUUAGGAGACCCUGUCGUCAUUCUUUUGGCCUCUAGUGUGCUUUAUCUUCACGUUUGCUGGCUUCCUUUUACUACUAUGGAAAUAC
rnacentral:lncRNA from 1 species